UUUCAUCAGAUCACCAGCAAAGACCUCCUGGGGCCUGUAUCAUGAAGCAGGAUUAAUGUCUCAGCGAGGUAACUUCAGGGUUAACCCUGGGUUUUCGGUCUCACGAAGCUGGUUCAGUUCUUAUCGGGGUAGAUCACCAUGGUAACUUACUCUGAACGGCUAUCCUGCUCCGGAGCAGGGUAAGUUCAGGGUUGAAUCUGAUCCUAUAAAAAGCACCACCCACUGGCCAAUCAGCUGUUCGGAAAAAAAUGACUCCGCUGACAGAAAUGCAGCCCAGUCAUGAUGGGAAGUUUAAUUAAUUUGAUUGAUUUUGAUUUGAAAGUUUAAUUUGAACAAUAAAAAAGAAAAGAAAGCAACAACAACAGACAAUGAAAAGAUUGUUCAAAAAGGAGUGGAAAGAAGUCGAACUUUCAUCCCACCCCUUCAUAAGAAAGAAACUGAUAAUUUGUGGACACUUAAUAGCACCAUUAAUUAGUGCCAACAUUUUGUUUUGUUGGAGUAAAUGAUCCCUGUUAAAGAUAAUGGGCCAAACUGACAGCUUUGCUGCUGGAAAUGUGGAAAGUAGCCUAUCAUGUCUACACUUCAUGGUGUUUGAGGGAUUUUCCUUUUUGUUUUUUAAAGAGGGAGACUAGGUAUAUUUCUGCACAGCUGUUAAUUUCUAACACAGCUCAAUAUCAGGAUGAUUUUAUUCAGACUAUCAAUUUGGUGUUGAUAUGAUUUAAUUGUGGCGUCAGCUUUAAGCUUUAUUGUAGCAUAUAUAACAUUAUGACAAAGAAGACCAAUUUAUCAGACGCAAUGAUGUUAGACGAUAAUUGUAAUACACGCAAUUCAUCUGCGCAGCAUUGAUUUCAUGGGAUUCAAGGGUGUGAUCAGUGUCAGAUGUACAGGUACAGGUACUGUAGCUACUUGAACCAGUGAUGAGUCAUUUAACCUACACAUCAUUUUAUUUGCUACCUUGUUUUGUCUUGAUUUUUCCCUCUCUCCUCCUCUAUUUCUUCUUUCCUGACCCGUUUUAUUCUUCUUCUCUAUUAUGUGAUUUAAUUGAUGUUUUGACAGGGGAAUUUCUUUGAUAAGCUUUUAGUGGCUUCUAACCUCUCCGGCACUUUUCUUUUUUUAAUCUUGUAAAUGUUAUACUGUCUGUUUUUAACAUUAUGUGCAAAUAAACUAAUCUAAACUAAAACUAAACAUUAUUCAUCCCGUUACGCGUUGCCACGCAUGUUUUCUCCUCCUGCAGCUGCCACGGUGUUGGCCUUUUAUCUAAUGUUGCUUUUCUCCUCCUCAUAUUUUAGUAGAAUUAAUCUCUGAUCCUCACGAGAAAUACUUUUUUUCCCCUCACAUACGGCGCUCUGUGACGCUGCACUUCUCUCAUGAUUGUGAUUGGUCCGCUGCGUGCGCGUUCACGGCUCUUGAUAAAGCAACUCUAGGUUGAGGGUCAACCCAGGAUAGGUCUGGGUAACCCAGGAAAGGUUGAUCUCGCUUCGUGAUACAGGCCCCUGGGGACUUGCGGUGCAUCUCUUGCCAAAUAUGUGCCUCACCUGCUGAGACUGUACCGGGCUAGGAGGGGAGCUUUUGGUCAGAAGAUGGAUGACCUCCUGGAAAAGCUUGAUGAACAGACAUCUGACAUUGUGUCUCACCGAAAGACAGCAGCACUGAGAGGCCUGCCCAUUUUUUUCCGGGAUGACACAGCUACGUUUUUCCUGACAUGUUUGGACACUGACCAUGAACAAAGGAUGCUCAGAGGUGUGUCUGUUGUCCUCCUCACCAUGCUGCUGCCGUAUCACCAAAUGUUCAAGAUGUGGCUGUUGUGUUGGAGGGGGCCGUCGUGCUGCAUGACCUACCAGACCUCUGUACUGCUUUUGCAUACCUCUUUGGCCUUCUGUAUGCCAUGAACAUUGAAUAUCCGAAGCAGAUGAGGUAUAUCUUUGAAGCAGUCCAGAUUAUCUUUUUCGAGCUCGGCUCACGAUGCUCACAGCGCACGAGCUCUCUGAAAACAAAGCUUUUGCUGUGAAUGUUUAUGGGGAAACCAGAUAGGGCUUUAACCUAUGUUUCCCCUGUUCUUGUGUAUUGUGGUUAGUGCUCAUGUAAAACUUCACAGCCAGCCAGUCAUUUGCCACUUCAAAAGAGGCACAUAACCAUUGUUGUAUCUGUUCAAUUUCAUUGUUAGUGUUUGCACAGCUUUGAUUUGAUCUAAUUCAUUGUGGUUAGUGCCCAUUCAAAAUGUCAAUGUAUGGCUACACUUGCACAACUGAUUUUCAUAUGUAUGUUUGUGGCAUUGUCAGUAGCUAUUUAACAUUUUGGAUUUGUCACUAUAGUCAUUCAUGGACCUUUUGUUUACUGUCAACAAUAUAGUUAUGUGACAAAAUGUUUAAUUUGUGGGUAUAUUUCACAUUGGGGCCAGACUUACCUCAGUAAU